GUUGUAUGGUUAAGUGACUAAGCGUACACGGUGGAUGCCUUGGCAGUCAGAGGCGAUGAAAGACGUAGUAACUUGCGAUAAGCCCAGAUUAGGUAGUAACAACCGUUUGAGUCUGGGAUGUCUGAAUGGGGAAACCCACGUGCAUAAGCACGUAUCAUUAACUGAAUACAUAGGUUAAUGAGGCAAACCGGGGGAACUGAAACAUCUAAGUACCCCGAGGAAAAGAAAUCAACCGAGAUUCCGAAAGUAGCGGCGAGCGAAAUUGGAUUAGCCCUUAAGCUUUACACGCGUUAGACGAACAGCCUGGAAAGGCCGACAAUAAAGGGUGAUAGUCCCGUAGUCGACGACGUGUGUUCAGUGAAAUCGAGUAGGACGGGACACGUGAUAUCCUGUCUGAAUAUGGGGGGACCAUCCUCCAAGGCUAAAUACUACUGACUGACCGAUAGUGAACCAGUACCGUGAGGGAAAGGCGAAAAGAACCCCUGUGAGGGGAGUGAAAUAGAACCUGAAACCGUGUACGUACAAGCAGUAGGAGCACCUUCGUGGUGUGACUGCGUACCUUUUGUAUAAUGGGUCAGCGACUUAUAUUCAGUAGCAAGGUUAACCAUCUAGGGGAGCCGUAGAGAAAUCGAGUCUUAACUGGGCGUCGAGUUGCUGGAUAUAGACCCGAAACCAGGUGAUCUAGCCAUGGGCAGGUUGAAGGUUGAGUAACAUCAACUGGAGGACCGAACCGACUAAUGUUGAAAAAUUAGCGGAUGACUUGUGGCUAGGGGUGAAAGGCCAAUCAAACCUGGAGAUAGCUGGUUCUCCCCGAAAUCUAUUUAGGUAGAGCCUCGGACGAAUACUACUGGGGGUAGAGCACUGUUAAGGCUAGGGGGUCAUCCCGACUUACCAACCCUUUGCAAACUCCGAAUACCAGUAAGUACUAUCCGGGAGACACACGGCGGGUGCUAACGUCCGUCGUGGAGAGGGAAACAACCCAGACCGCCAGCUAAGGUCCCAAAGUAUAGCUAAGUGGGAAACGAUGUGGGAAGGCUUAGACAGCUAGGAUGUUGGCUUAGAAGCAGCCAUCAUUUAAAGAAAGCGUAAUAGCUCACUAGUCGAGUCGGCCUGCGCGGAAGAUGUAACGGGGCUAAGCUAUACACCGAAGCUGCGGCAAUACAGUUUACUGUAUUGGGUAGGGGAGCGUUCUGUAAGCCGUUGAAGGUGUGCUGUAAGGCAUGCUGGAGGUAUCAGAAGUGCGAAUGCUGACAUGAGUAACGAUAAAGGGGGUGAAAAACCCCCUCGCCGGAAGACCAAGGGUUCCUGUCCAACGUUAAUCGGGGCAGGGUAAGUCGACCCCUAAGGCGAGGCCGAAAGGCGUAGUCGAUGGGAAACGGGUUAAUAUUCCCGUACUUCUUACAAUUGCGAUGGGGGGACGGAGAAGGCUAGGUGAGCCUGGCGACGGUUGUCCAGGUUCAAGUGCGUAGGCUUGAGAGUUAGGUAAAUCCGGCUCUCUCCAAAGCUGAGACACGACGUCGAGCACCUACGGGUGUGAAGUCAUUGAUGCCAUGCUUCCAGGAAAAGCCUCUAAGCUUCAGAUUGUAAGAAAUCGUACCCCAAACCGACACAGGUGGUCGGGUAGAGAAUACCAAGGCGCUUGAGAGAACUCGGGUGAAGGAACUAGGCAAAAUGGUACCGUAACUUCGGGAGAAGGUACGCUCUUGUCGGUGAAGUCCCUUGCGGAUGGAGCUAACGGNNNNNNNNNNNNNNNNNNNNNNNNNNNNNNNNNNNNNNNNNNNNNNNNNNNNNNNNNNNNNNNNNNNNNNNNNNNNNNNNNNNNNNNNNNNNNAUACGGGAGUCGCAGAUACCAGGUGGCUGCAACUGUUUAUUAAAAACACAGCACUGUGCAAAAUCGUAAGAUGACGUAUACGGUGUGACGCCUGCCCGGUGCCGGAAGGUUAAUUGAUGGGGUUAGACUUAGGUCGAAGCUCUUGAUCGAAGCCCCGGUAAACGGCGGCCGUAACUAUAACGGUCCUAAGGUAGCGAAAUUCCUUGUCGGGUAAGUUCCGACCUGCACGAAUGGCGUAAUGAUGGCCACGCUGUCUCCACCCGAGACUCAGUGAAAUUGAAAUCGCUGUGAAGAUGCAGUGUACCCGCGGCUAGACGGAAAGACCCCGUGAACCUUUACUACAGCUUGGCACUGAACAUUGAGCCUACAUGUGUAGGAUAGGUGGGAGGCUUUGAUAUGUGCACGCCAGUGUGCAUGGAGCCAUCCUUGAAAUACCACCCUUGUAUGUUUGAUGUUCUAACUUAGACCCAUUAUCUGGGUCAAGGACAGUGCCUGGUGGGUAGUUUGACUGGGGCGGUCUCCUCCCAAAGAGUAACGGAGGAGCACGAAGGUGGGCUAAACACGGUUGGACAUCGUGUGGUUAGUGCAAUGGCAUAAGCCCGCUUGACUGCGAGAAUGACAAUUCGAGCAGGUGCGAAAGCAGGUCAUAGUGAUCCGGUGGUUCUGUAUGGAAGGGCCAUCGCUCAACGGAUAAAAGGUACUCCGGGGAUAACAGGCUGAUACCGCCCAAGAGUUCAUAUCGACGGCGGUGUUUGGCACCUCGAUGUCGGCUCAUCACAUCCUGGGGCUGAAGUCGGUCCCAAGGGUAUGGCUGUUCGCCAUUUAAAGUGGUACGCGAGCUGGGUUUAGAACGUCGUGAGACAGUUCGGUCCCUAUCUGCCGUGGGCGUUGGAAGAUUGAAGGGGGCUGCUCCUAGUACGAGAGGACCGGAGUGGACGAACCUCUGGUGUUCGGGUUGUCAUGCCAAUGGCAUUGCCCGGUAGCUAAGUUCGGAAUCGAUAACCGCUGAAAGCAUCUAAGCGGGAAGCGAGCCCUAAGAUGAGUCUUCCCUGACCCCUUGAGGGUCCUAAAGGGUUGUUCAAGACUAGAACGUUGAUAGGCAGGGUGUGUAAGCGUUGUGAGGCGUUGAGCUAACCUGUACUAAUUGCCCGUGAGGCUUAACCAUACAACACCCAAAGGGUUUUG
rnacentral:rRNA from 1 species